GAUGAACGCUGGCGGCGUGCCUAAUACAUGCAAGUCGAGCGAAUGGAUUAAGAGCUUGCUCUUAUGAAGUUAGCGGCGGACGGGUGAGUAACACGUGGGUAACCUGCCCAUAAGACUGGGAUAACUCCGGGAAACCGGGGCUAAUACCGGAUAAUAUUUUGAACUGCAUGGUUCAAAAUUGAAAGGCGGCUUCGGCUGUCACUUAUGGAUGGACCCGCGUCGCAUUAGCUAGUUGGUGAGGUAACGGCUCACCAAGGCAACGAUGCGUAGCCGCCCUGAGAGGGUGAUCGGCCACACUGGGACUGAGACACGGCCCAGACUCCUACGGGAGGCAGCAGGAGGGAAUCUUCCGCAAUGGACGAAAGUCUGACGGAGCAACGCCGCGUGAGUGAUGAAGGCUUUCGGGUCGUAAAACUCUGUUGUUAGGGAAGAACAAGUGCUAGUUGAAUAAGCUGGCACCUUGACGGUACCUAACCAGAAAGCCACGGCUAACUACGUGCCAGCAGCCGCCGUAA
rnacentral:rRNA from 1 species